UGGGGAAUAUUGGACAAUGGGGGCAACCCUGAUCCAGCAAUGCCGCGUGUGUGAAGAAGGCCCUAGGGUUGUAAAGCACUUUCAAUUGGGAAGAAAGUUCCGGGUUAAUACCCGUGGACCAUGACGGUACCUUUAGAAGAAGCACCGGCUAACUCCGUGCCAGCAGCCGCGGUAAUACGGAGGGUGCGAGCGUUAAUCGGAAUUACUGGGCGUAAAGCGCGCGUAGGCGGUUUGGUAAGUCAGAUGUGAAAGCCCCGGGCUCAACCUGGGAACUGCAUUUGAUACUGCCUGACUAGAGUAUGGUAGAGGGAAGUGGAAUUCCACAUGUAGCGGUGAAAUGCGUAGAGAUGUGGAGGAACACCAGUGGCGAAGGCGGCUUCCUGGACCAAUACUGACGCUGAGGUGCGAAAGCGUGGGGAG
rnacentral:rRNA from 1 species